rnacentral:rRNA from 1 species
AUUGAACGCUGGCGGAAUGCUUUACACAUGCAAGUCGAACGGCAGCACGGGGGCAACCCUGGUGGCGAGUGGCGAACGGGUGAGUAAUACAUCGGAACGUGCCCAAUCGUGGGGGAUAACUACGCGAAAGCGUAGCUAAUACCGCAUACGAUCUACGGAUGAAAGCGGGGGAUCGCAAGACCUCGCGCGAAUGGAGCGGCCGAUGGCAGAUUAGGUAGUUGGUGGGGUAAAGGCUCACCAAGCCGUCGAUCUGUAGCUGGUCUGAGAGGACGACCAGCCACACUGGGACUGAGACACGGCCCAGACUCCUACGGGAGGCAGCAGUGGGGAAUUUUGGACAAUGGGCGCAAGCCUGAUCCAGCCAUUCCGCGUGCAGGAUGAAGGCCCUCGGGUUGUAAACUGCUUUUGUACGGAACGAAAAGCGCUGAGUUAAUACCUCGGCGUCAUGACGGUACCGUAAGAAUAAGCACCGGCUAACUACGUGCCAGCAGCCGCU